UUCGAGACCCGAACGGACAAUCGCGAACCCGUCAAUGCUCUGGCAGGGGCAGAGAGAGGGCAGACAUUUAAACCGCCCGACCCUCACCGCCCYCGCCUUGCCUCGUUGUGGGAGGGACAGCGGGAACAAUACUCGACACAAUGGGCGCCAAGGAACAGUGCAGUCGGAGAGCGUCGCACGCCAGUUUUGGCGUAUAGUACGAUCUUUCCAUACAUCUAACUUUUACGACUCUCGACAACAGAUAUCUUGGCUCUCGCAUCGAUGAAGAACGCAGCGAAAUGCGAUACUUGGUGUGAAUUGCAGAAUCCCGUGAACCAUCGAGUCUUUGAACGCAAGUUGCGCCCGAGGCUAUCCGGCCGAGGGCACGCCUGCCUGGGCGUCACGCCUCGCGUCGCUCCGCGUACCCUGCCCUCUUAACCAGGGAGGCAGUGGGCGAGGAUGCGGAGAUUGGCCCCCCGUGCCUUGCGGCGCGGCGGGUCGAAGUACGGGCCGCCGGCCGGGACGGACGCGGCGAGUGGUGGACGGACACGUACGGCGCUGAACGCCGCCUCCGCACCCGGCACCAGCGGCUCAUGCAAGGAACCCAUGCCGAGCAC
rnacentral:rRNA from 1 species